rnacentral:rRNA from 1 species
GUGCCAGCCGCCGCGGCAACACCAGCGCCACAAGUGGCGAUCAGUUUUAUUGGGUCUAAAGCGUCUGUAGCCGAUUUAGUAAGUCUUUUGUGAAACUGUAGGGCUUAACCUUACAACGUGCAAAGGAUACUGUUAAUUUAGGGACCAGGAGAGGUUGAAAGAACUCCUUGGGAAGCGGUAAAAUGUUUUAAUCCUUGGAGGACUACCUAUGGCGAAGGCAUUCAACCAGAAUGGAUCCGACGGUGAGAGACGAAAGCUAGGGGAGCGAACAGGAUUAGAUACCCUAGUAGUCCUAGCUGUAAACGCUGCCAAUUAUGUGUUGCAUGUUCUCCGUGAACAUGCAGUGCCGGAGCGAAGGCGUUAAAUUGGCCACCUGGGAAGUACGGCCGCAAGACUGAAACUUAAAGGAAUUGGCGGGGGCGCACUACAAGGGGUGCGGCGUGCGGUUUAAUUUAACUUUACCCAGAGAAUCUCACCAGCAGCGACGGCAGAAUGAAGGUCAGAUUGAAGGUCUUACCUAACGAGCCGAGAGAUGGUGCAUGGCCGCCGUCAGUUCGUGCCGUAAGGUGUCCUGUUAAGUCAGGUAACGAACAAGACCUGUAUCUACACUUGCUAGCAAUCCUGCGGGAUGAUCGAGUACACUGUAGAGACUGCCUUGGUAACCAGGAGGAAGGUGCAGGCACGGUAGGUCUGUAUGCCUCGAAUCUGCUGGGCUACACGCGCGCAACAAUGGUAGGGAUAACGGGAUACAACUCCGAAGGAAAGUCAAUCUCAACCUAUCAGUUAU